GCUUUAAAUUAAAUAACCAUCCAUAUAGGUCUGACAAUAGGGGUCAGGCGUUUCUACAAAGAGGCCGUAAACUUCUUAACUAUGGGUGAAUCCAGGUUCUAU
rnacentral:ncRNA from 2 species